GACUCUCGGCAACGGAUAUCUCGGCUCUCGCAUCGAUGAAGAACGCAGCAAAAUGUGGUACUUAGUGUGAAUUGCAGAAUCCCGUGAAUCAUCGAGUUUUAUAACGCAAGUUGCGCCCGAAGCCUUUCGGCCGAGGGCACGCCUCCCUGGGUGUCA
rnacentral:rRNA from 1 species